CUGCAAGAUAAACAAGAUAUAUCUGUUAAGGACUUUAAUCCACAUAAAAAGUUUUUUUAUUUAUUUUUUAUUAUUAUUUUUUUUUGGUAUUUGUAACUUUACAUAGCUUUAAUAAGCUAAAAUGUGAGGACACAUGAAAUAAACAUUGUGACGUGAGUUUGCAUCUUACGUGAAGUUAGAGGACUUGGGUUGUAAAUUUGGACUACCAGGUUCAUUCAGAAGAGUGUUCAGCUGCAGGAGAAAAAUCAAAUCAUUCAUCAGUUUCUGGUGAAGACUGGCAUUGAACCUACGUCUUUUUACACUGUUCAUUUUUGAAGUUUACCGCAUUAUUGAUGGUAUUCUGCACUUGCUGGUUGGUGUUGCCUCUAGACUCAGGGUCCUCUGGCAUGCUGAUGUUAAUCACGUUGAAUGUAAAGACCAAAGCAUAGGAGGUUUCUGAGAUCUCUGUUUGGAUGGAAAUGGUCAUUUUAAGAUUUGCCAAAAGCCUGAAAUACAUCAUUGUUUGACUCAAUCUCAUUUCAAAACUUUCCAAGUGAAAAUGAUGACACUUACUCUCAUAGGUGACAUUCACCACCUACACCGAUUCAUUGAGCUGCGACUCUCUGGAAUUACGGAGAGUUUUGAUAGCACUGAGGACCAGAGAUUCACUGGGGACUGGAGAUGAGGAGUUGAACACCAGCUUGCUUGUGACCACUGCUGAACCAGAUCUGUAAAUAUAACCACUUUUGUUUAAUGUACAUCAAGUUUUUCACAAUAAAAUUACUUCACAUUUUUGAUUGUUCCCAAAAUAGAAAACCAACACUUACAUGAGAUUUGGAGCAGUAAUAGAGACACUGGUUGUUGUUCCUGGAAAGACUGUUGUAGUGGUUGGUAGACGUAGCUCAUUGAGGAAGCUGACUGGUUGUAUGACAUCUCCAUCCUGGAAAGACUGUUGUAGUGGUUGGUAGACGUAGCUCAUUGAGGAAGCUGACUGGUUGUAUGACAUCUCCAUCCUGGAAGCUGUAUUCCAUCCUGCCAUCAAUCUGCUUUGAAGUGCUCCUGCAGAACAAACAAAAGAUAUUGUUAAAGGAAUUCACUCUAUAUUAAAACAUAAUACAUGAAAAUUACACAGCUA
rnacentral:lncRNA from 1 species